CGAGUUUGAUCAUGGCUCAGGACGAACGCUGGCGGCGUGCUUAACACAUGCAAGUCGAGCGGAAAGGCCCUUCGGGGUACUCGAGCGGCGAACGGGUGAGUAACACGUGAGUAAUCUGCCCCUAGCUCUGGGAUAGCUCCGGGAAACCGGGAUUAAUACCAGAUAUGACCACUACAGACAUCUGUGGUGGUGGAAAGAAUUUCGGCUAGGGAUGAGCUCGCGGCCUAUCAGCUUGUUGGUGGGGUAACGGCCUACCAAGGCGACGACGGGUAGCCGGCCUGAGAGGGCGACCGGCCACACUGGGACUGAGACACGGCCCAGACUCCUACGGGAGGCAGCAGUGGGGAAUAUUGCGCAAUGGGCGAAAGCCUGACGCAGCGACGCCGCGUGGGGGAUGAAGGCCUUCGGGUUGUAAACCCCUUUCAGCAGGGACGAAGCGAAAGUGACGGUACCUGCAGAAGAAGCGCCGGCUAACUACGUGCCAGCAGCCGCGGUAAUAA
rnacentral:rRNA from 1 species